rnacentral:lncRNA from 1 species
GGCAGUGCUAACUAGGAAAAGCUCUCCAGAAAGACAUAGCAGGAAGGAGACAUGGAGAACGCAUACACGUUCCUACUGCUCUGAGCCAAGAGUGAGGAAGACUGAACAGGAAACUGAACAGGACAGACUUGUGCAUGAAAUGGCAAAGUGAGAUGUGCACAGUGUGUACAGAAAGCAAAAUUAAAGACAAAACUGCCUGUGAUCAUAAUGGAUAAAGAUAGGAAAUACAACAAAAAAAGCAAAUAGAAGCAAAAAUAAUUGUACUUUCAUACAAGUGACAUUCCUGAGGCAAGGUUCCUGACAGGGAAUGAGGACAAAAAGCAGAGUGUGAAGCUUGAAGAGCUUUCAGGCCCAGGGCUGCACAGAAGCUGGUGUCAGGGCCAGUGAAUGCUUCUGCAAGGACACUGCUCUUCCAGAGGACCCACACAUCGUUCCUGGCCAUCUCAAAACAAUGCAAAAGACUGAGACAACAGAAAGGACAGGAGGAUAAGUCUGAUGAUGGACGCCAGAUACUCAACAGAGCUGUUCAGAGAAAGAAAGGGACAUGUUCAGAGAAAGAAAGGGACAUGACAGGUAGACACACUGGUGACCAUUUUCUGAAACAUGGUGAAAACAAAGACCCAAGGCUUCCCUGCUCUGUGGGUGGUGCUCGGAGCCCAUUUCACUCAUUGGAUUUUACAUGAAUUUCAUACUCUGUCAUCUGGAAGAUCACCUUUUAAUUUAACAAACUGAAUUAAAAAAAACAAAAAACAAAAAACC